CAGUCGCCGCGGUAAUACGAAGGGGGCUAGCGUUGCUCGGAAUGACUGGGCGUAAAGGGCGCGUAGGCGGCGAUCAAAGUCAGGCGUGAAAUUCCUGGGCUCAACCUGGGGGCUGCGCUUGAUACUCGGUUGCUUGAGUGGGGAAGAGGGUCGUGGAAUUCCCAGUGUAGAGGUGAAAUUCGUAGAUAUUGGGAAGAACACCGAUGGCGAAGGCAGCCCCCUGGGCCAAUACUGACGCUCAUGCACGAAAGCGUGGGGAGCAAACAGGAUUAGAUACCCCUGUAGUCCCUGUCUCUUAUAC
rnacentral:rRNA from 1 species